GAAUAGAACAGGUCAAAUGUACGGCUCAGGCCGGCAAGAGGAUUUGAACCCCUUAGGCCAUAACGUAGUGUCUUUGUCACUUGAAUGCGACGACGUUGUUCUAGUCUUUCAAAUUUAUGCUGAAAUUUCACCCUUUCUUCCAAAUUUCCUAAAGAACCCAGAAGCAGAGCAUACUGUUCAAUAAUCAUGCAAAACCGCCAAGACUUAAAAUCAAUUAUCCCAUUUCUACCGCCAUUAAAGCUCAAAUCUUCAGGCACAUUAACAUGGUUAAACACCCAAGUCACUGAUACCCUUGAAUCAAUUUCACAUGGGUGUCAACUUGACUCGGGUAAAAAACUUUUUGAUGCUAUUUCAACCAUCAGAAAUUCUCUCUGUUUACCCUCUGAGGAUCGUUUGGCAGAAUCUACUGGGAAAGGAUUUUCAAUCUUCUUUGAGGAGUUGCUGCCUAUGGAAGAAUCCAAAAAUUGGCUUAAACAAGUUAUCCCUCGAAUGGCUGAUUUGAUUUUGAGUUUGCCUUCACUUUUGGAAAAUCAUUAUGGAAAUUGUGAUCAUGUAAUUGAUGGGGUUUCAACUGGUCUUCGAAUACUGGAGCCUCAACAACCUGGGGUUGUUUUUCUCAGUCAGGAGUUUAUAGCUGCAUUGCUGUCUUGUUCGUUCUUUUGCUUGUUUCCGACUGUCAAUAGAAUGGCUAACUGUAUGCCAUUGAUCAACAUGGAUAGUAUAUUUGCGAGUAUUCAUGAUCGGUAUCAUCCAAAACAGGAAAACAAAAUCAAGUGCAUUAUUCAUUAUUUUGAGAGGAUAUGUUCAUCUAUGCCCUCAAAUUUUGUUUCGUUCGAAAGGAAGGUUCUUUCUAUGAAUCAUAACCCAUCUGUUGUUGCUCUUCCCUCUUACGAUUUCUGGACCAACUCUGUGGCUCCCGUCUGUGAGUUUAAGGUUUUCCCUACAGGCCUAAUAGAAGACCAUCCUGCUGGGGCACUGGAAGUCGAUUUUGCAGACCCAAGUUUUGGAGGAAUUGUUAUGACUAUGGGGUGUCUCCAGGAGGAAAUCCGCUUCAUGAUGAAUCCUGAACUGAUUGUUGGCAUGCUUUUUUUGCCUUCCAUGGAAGAUAAUGAGGCCAUAGAAAUUGUUGGUGCAGAAAGGUUUUCCAAUUAUAAAGGGUACAAUAGUACGUUCCAAUAUGAUGGUGAUCAUGUUGAUAGAAGGGGAUUAGAUCGUUUUCAUAGGCGCAUGUCUAAAAUUAUUGCUAUAGAUGCUUUGGCAAUGCCUGGCACUAAUCAGUAUAGGAGUAAAUUUCUCUUGAGGGAGGUUAACAAGGCAUUUUGUGGCUUCCUGAAUCAUCCUCAUUAUCAGACGCAAGAAUGCGAUAGUAAUGCCGGGGUUGCUACUGGAAACUGGGGAUGUGGUGUUUUUGGCGGCGAUCCUGAAAUUAAGUCCAUCUUACAGUGGCUUGCUGCAUCUCAGGCAUCCCGACCUUUUAUCUCAUACUAUACAUUUGAACUGGAGACUUUACAAACAUUGGAUCAGGUAGUUGUGGAGAUUGUAUCACAGAAAUGGACAGUUGGAGACCUUUGGAAUAGGUUAUCCAAUUAUUGCUCGAAGCGUCUGGAUGGACAAACAAAGUCUGGUUUCUUUAAGUACCUGAUUCCUUCGAUUGAGCAAGAUGAUUCGGGCAGCAGUACCUAUUACAAGUGCAUUGGUGCAAAUGAGUCGGAGUUCAGUGGUGUCUUGUGGUCGAGUAGGAAUGCAGGUAAUCGCGGUGGUGAUCAUUGACAACAGUUCAAUUGAAAUUUUCUUGUGAAUACUUAACUGAUAGAAGCUGUUUGAUACUGAUGUAAAGAGUAGUAUUCUAUGUAGAGUUUUCCUUUUGAGAGUACCUUUGAAUUCAGAUACUGGUUUGAGACUUGAGAGUGAACCUUUGUUUUAUGUUUUUGAGUUUUGCUUUGAAAGUCUCUUCGAUUUCAAAACUUUGUGUGUUGAUAGUUUGAUACUAGAGGUGUUUAACGGGGAGGGUCGAUCCAGCGGGUCAAGGGUCGGGUCUAGAGAUGUGCAACGGGUUGUGGGCCCAUCGGGCCUCCAGGUCCGACCCUUUAUUAGACGGACUUUUAACGGGUUAAGCCUUCAAUGGGUCGGGCUUUUGAAGGGCCAACUUUUACUAUAUAUGGAGUGGGCUUUUCACGGGCCCUACACGGGCUGGAGUUUUACUCUACGUGGUUAAUUGAAUUAAUAGUUAGAUGAUCCAUAAUUACUCUUCUGGAAUUUCACUUAAACUAGUCAAUUAUGAAGUAUGCUCAACAUAGUCUUUUUUUCAAUGACAUUUUUUCGUCUUUGUAUAAUUCAUUUGGUUGUCCUGGAAUCUGCACAAUUGUUACUUCAAUAUUGUAGAAUGAACUAAAGCAAUCUCUGGACUGACCACAAAUUUGUAAAGGUUUGAGGCUCCAUGUAGAAUCAUGCUACUAUAAGGCAUAAUAGAUCUCAAUCAAAAUGGUGAUGCAAGAAAAAUUAAAGAAUUAGGAUAAAAGGGUCGGAUCGGGUCAGGAUGGGCCAUUAAGUCCGACCCAUUUAAAGCCCGUUCAAAGUAGAGUCCAAUCCGGUCCUUAUCCGACCCAUUGCACAGGUCUAGUCGGGUCACAAUUUAACGGAUUAUUAGCGGGUCAGGUCAAUAGUGAGUUGGGCCAUUAACGGGCCUUGGUGUCAAGGGUCUGGCCAGGCCGAGUCGAAUGAUUAUAGGAAUCGGUUCCGAAAAUAUUUUACCAAUUUUUUAAUGUUUUUAUAUGAUAUUAUUAUUAUAUACAUGGGUAGAUCGACCCAACGGGCCAUAAAGUAAAAUAAAAAAUCUAUUUGACGAACUUUUUAAA